UUUUAACAGGUCCAUAUUAUUUA
rnacentral:snRNA from 1 species